UACGUAGGGUGCGAGCGUUAAUCGGAAUUACUGGGCGUAAAGCGUGCGCAGGCGGUUUCGUAAGACAGAUGUGAAAUCCCCGGGCUUAACCUGGGAACUGCGUUUGUGACUGCGAGACUUGAGUGCGGCAGAGGGGGGUGGAAUUCCACGUGUAGCAGUGAAAUGCGUAGAUAUCUGGAGGAACACCGGUGGCGAAGGCGGCCCCCUGGCGUCGAUACUGACACUGAGGUGCGAAAGACUGGGGA
rnacentral:rRNA from 1 species